rnacentral:rRNA from 1 species
CAUUACAGAGUUCAUGCCCUCACGGGUAGAUCUCCCACCCUUGAAUACUAUACCUUUGUUGCUUUGGCGGGCCGCCUUGGCUACUGGCUCCGGCUGGUAAGUGCCCGCCAAAGGACCCCAAAACUCUGAAUAUUAGUGUCGUCUGAGUACUAUAUAAUAGUUAAAACUUUCAACAACGGAUCUCUUGGUUCUGGCAUCGAUGAAGAACGCAGCGAAAUGCGAUAAGUAAUGUGAAUUGCAGAAUUCAGUGAAUCAUCGAAUCUUUGAACGCACAUUGCGCCCCUUGGUAUUCCGAGGGGCAUGCCCGUUCGAGCGUCAUUAUAACCCCUCAAGCCUAGCUUGGUGUUGGGGCCUGCUGUUACCGGCAGCCCUUAAAAUCAGUGGCGGUGCCAUCUGGCUCUAAGCGUAGUAAUACUUCUCGCUAUAGGGUCCCGGUGGAUGCUUGCCAUCAACCCCUAAUUUUCUAUGGUUGACCUCGGAUCGGGUAGGGAUACCC